ensembl:lncRNA
ACCGGCAGCACGGCCGCUCGCUCCCAGCCCUGGCAGGGGCAGCAGCAUCUGCCCCCCGGGACCCCCCUUCCCGGCUCCUCACGCCGGGACCCCUCGCUCCUUGUGUGGGACGUGCGUCCCGCUUUGCUCCCUUCACACUGCUCCUAUUUAAUUCUUUCGUUUCUUUGUGGAUUUUGUCAUUCAGUCGCUUUAUUCGGACCCGUAAGGAAUAGGGGCCGGGCUGGGGAUGCAUCCCCCCGUGCUAAGGGUGCCCCUCAGCGGGUGCACACCCGUGGCUCUUUGCCUGACUCCAUCCAGCGGUCCUCUCCUGCCACACCUGGCUGAAUCACACUUUUAUUGCCGGGUGCCAGGAACAGGGAAGCAGAGAACACCUGCGAGCUGUCAGCUGCCCUGGCAAUACCUUCACCCUCUGAUUGUGGGCGAGCAUGAGUGCCAAGUGCGAGUCCCAGAGUGCGGCUGGGGCUCAGGGACAGCGCAGUCCCCAGGGAAAUGACAUCCCUCACUGCCCCUGAGCGCACACCAGGGCUGGAUCUACAGCCUGGCCCUGCUGAAGGCCUCGUGGGGCCGCUGGGCUGGGAGCUGGUGCCCUACGUGGCCGGGAACCCUGUGGCUCGGCACCCACCUGCUCUGAGAGGCUGGGGCCGUGGGGGCCGAUGGCCACGGAGAUCUUUCAGCCAGGAUGCUGGGAAGUCCGCAGCGCGAGGAUGGGAGCAGCUGCCCGCUGAGCUACGCCAACCUGUUGCGCAGCUCCCGUCGCUGCACACAUGCUCAGCUCGGCUGCGGUGACUGCACCAUCUAGAGGCUGUGCCGGCCUGCUCCGAGCAUCCCUGGCUCCGGCUCAGCCCCGCAUUUCCUCCGCAAAAAUCAGAGCUCAGCCCGCGGAGCGCUUCUCCCCGCCGGGAAGGGGCUGGGGAGAGGUACCCCGAGGGGGGCACCCAGGAUGCUCUGCAAUGGCCAUCCCUGUUCCUGUGGUCUUCUCCAUGCCAGUGUGCGUGGGGCUUUUUUUUUUUUUUUCCGGGUGUUAAUUCUCAGAAGGGGAAUUUUGCAGAGGAUACAAAGUGAGAGCCCCGGGAAGGUGGAAGCCCCAGGAAAGGGGCUACGGGGUUUGUCGGGGGACACAGUGGGAGCCGGGCUUCGGGCGGGGAGCAGAGCGGAGCUCCUGUGGGACACAGAGAGCUUUGGUUCUCAGCUCCGGUGGCCCUGGGAGGGAGGAGAGUGGGAGGAAGGGAAGAGCAGAGCAAGUGACCCUGCGCACCCC